rnacentral:rRNA from 1 species
AGCGAACGCUGGCGGCAGGCUUAACACAUGCAAGUCGAGCGCGUGUAGCAAUACACGAGCGGCAGACGGGUGAGUAACACGUGGGAACGUGCCUUUUGGUUCGGAAUAACUCAGGGAAACUUGAGCUAAUACCGAAUAAGCCCCUCGGGGGGAAAGAUUUAUCGCCAAAAGAUCGGCCCGCGUAAGAUUAGCUUGUUGGUGAGGUAACGGCUCACCAAGGCUACGAUCUUUAGCUGGUCUGAGAGGAUGAUCAGCCACAUUGGGACUGAGACACGGCCCAAACUCCUACGGGAGGCUG